UGGGGAAUCUUGGACAAUGGGCGAAAGCCUGAUCCAGCCAUGCCGCGUGAGUGACGAAGGUCUUCGGAUUGUAAAGCUCUUUUGGCGGGGACGAUAAUGACGGUACCCGCAGAAUAAGCCCCGGCUAACUUCGUGCCAGCAGCCGCGGUAAUACGAAGGGACCAAGCGUUGUUCGGAUUUACUGGGCGUAAAGGGCGCGUAGGCGGCAAUUCAAGUCAUCUGUGAAAUCUCCGGGCUUAACUCGGAACGGUCAGAUGAUACUGCUUUGCUAGAGUGCAGAAGGGGCAAUCGGAAUUCUUGGUGUAGCGGUGAAAUGCGUAGAUAUCAAGAGGAACACCUGAGGUGAAGACGGGUUGCUGGGCUGACACUGACGCUGAGGCGCGAAAGCCAGGGGAGCAAACGGGAUUAGAUACCCUCGUAGUCCCUGAGCGGGCUGGCAAGGCGCAU
rnacentral:rRNA from 1 species